rnacentral:rRNA from 11 species
ACUGGAUUAUAUGUCACUCUAGAUGGGGCCUAAGUCCUCCUGAAUGCACCAUCUGACCUUGGGACCUAAGCAGAGUGAACCCUGGUUAGUAUCUCGACGGGAGACCACCAAUGAAUACCAGGAACAGUC